rnacentral:rRNA from 1 species
UGGGGAAUAUUGCACAAUGGGGGAAACCCUGAUGCAGCGACGCCGCGUGAAGGAAGAAGUAUCUCGGUAUGUAAACUUCUAUCAGCAGGGAAGAAAAUGACGGUACCUGACUAAGAAGCCCCGGCUAACUACGUGCCAGCAGCCGCGGUAAUACGUAGGGGGCAAGCGUUAUCCGGAUUUACUGGGUGUAAAGGGAGCGUAGACGGCAUGGCAAGUCUGAAGUGAAAGCCCGGGGCUCAACCGCGGGACUGCUUUGGAAACUGUGGAUCUAGAGUGCCGGAGAGGUAAGCGGAAUUCCUAGUGUAGCGGUGAAAUGCGUAGAUAUUAGGAGGAACACCAGUGGCGAAGGCGGCUUACUGGACGGUAACUGACGUUGAGGCUCGAAAGCGUGGGGAGCAAACAGGAUUAGAUACCC